rnacentral:rRNA from 1 species
GAGUUUGAUCGUGGCUCAGGAUGAACGCUGGCGGCGUGCCUAAUACAUGCAAGUCGAGCGAACGGACGAGAAGCUUGCUUCUCUGAUGUUAGCGGCGGACGGGUGAGUAACACGUGGAUAACCUACCUAUAAGACUGGGAUAACUUCGGGAAACCGGAGCUAAUACCGGAUGAUAUUUUGAACCGCAUGGUUCAAAAGUGAAAGACGGUCUUGCUGUCACUUAUAGAUGGAUCCGCGCUGCAUUAGCUAGUUGGUAAGGUAACGGCUCACCAAGGCAACGAUGCAUAGCCGACCUGAGAGGGUGAUCGGCCACACUGGAACUGAGACACGGUCCAGACUCCUACGGGA